AACGGCGUAGAGGAGACCGGUAUCUCGCCAGCCUCAUAAGCUGGAGGGUCACAGUUUCCAAGCCUGUCGCCGCAACCA
rnacentral:tRNA from 1 species